GUGCCAGCCGCCGCGGUAAUACGGAGGGAGCUAGCGUUGUUCGGAAUUACUGGGCGUAAAGCGCACGUAGGCGGCUUUGUAAGUUAGAGGUGAAAGCCUGGGGCUCAACUCCAGAAUUGCCUUUAAGACUGCAUCGCUUGAAUCAUGGAGAGGCGAGUGGAAUUCCGAGUGUAGAGGUGAAAUUCGUAGAUAUUCGGAAGAACACCAGUGGCGAAGGCGGCUCGCUGGACAUGUAUUGACGCUGAGGUGCGAAAGCGUGGGGAGCAAACAGGAUUAGAAACCCUUGUAGUCC
rnacentral:rRNA from 1 species